AGUGAACGCUGGCGGUAGGCCUAACACAUGCAAGUCGAACGGCAGCACAGUAAGAGCUUGCUCUUACGGGUGGCGAGUGGCGGACGGGUGAGGAAUACAUCGGAAUCUACUUUUUCGUGGGGGAUAACGUAGGGAAACUUACGCUAAUACCGCAUACGACCUACGGGUGAAAGCAGGGGAUCUUCGGACCUUGCGCGAUUGAAUGAGCCGAUGUCGGAUUAGCUAGUUGGCGGGGUAAAGGCCCACCAAGGCGACGAUCCGUAGCUGGUCUGAGAGGACGAUCAGCCACACUGGAACUGAGACACGGUCCAGACUCCUACGGGAGGCAGCAGUGGGUAAUAUUGGACAAUGGGCGCAAGCCUGAUCCAGCCAUACCGCGUGGGUGAAGAAGGCCUUCGGGUUGUAAAGCCCUUUUGUUGGGAAAGAAAAGCAGCAGGUUAAUACCCCGCUGUUCUGACGGUACCCAAAGAAUAAGCACCGGCUAACUUCGUG
rnacentral:rRNA from 1 species